GAAAAUGUUAUAAAUAACCUCAUCCACACCCAACCCCAAACCCUAGCUGCCAGAACCCUCGCCGGAGAAGACAACCCAGCCACCGGAGGAACCGACCGCCGCUAUCGCAUCGGAGCACCUUCCAGCCGCCAAACGAGGUAAAAUUUCUCCCAUUGGCUCAAUUUUCGAUGCUGAAACUACCUGUGGCCAAAUCGGAGCCAAA
rnacentral:lncRNA from 1 species